rnacentral:rRNA from 1 species
UACAGAGACUGCAAGCGUUAUUCGGAUUCACUGGGCGUAAAGGGUGCGCAGGCGGCCGUGUGUGUGGGCGUGAAAGCCCGAUGCUUAACAUCGGAAUUGCACCUCAAACUACACGGCUAGAGCAUUGGAGAGGGUAGCGGAAUUCACGGUGUAGCAGUGAAAUGCGUAGAUAUCGUGAGGAAUACCAGAGGCGAAGGCGGCUACCUGGACAAUUGCUGACGCUCAGGCACGAAAGCGUGGGGAGCAAAAGGG